UACGUAGGGUGCGAGCGUUAUUCGGAAUUACUGGGCGUAAAGCGUGCGCGGGCGGUUCGUUAAGUUCGUUGUGAAAGCCCCGGGCUCAACCUGGGAACUGCAAUGGAAACUGGCGGGCUUGAGUGUGGCAGAGGGGGGUGGAAUUCCGCGUGUAGCAGUGAAAUGCGUAGAGAUGCGGAGGAACACCGAUGGCGAAGGCAGCCCCCUGGGCCAACACUGACGCUCAGGCACGAAAGCGUGGGGAGCAAACAGG
rnacentral:rRNA from 1 species